GAUGUCAUUUUACUAUAAUUUUCCCUGGCCAUUUUAUUAUAAUUUUUAGAUUGGCCAAGGUUAAGAAAGAUGACAGCUCUGUGGGCUAGAGGGUGGAGAGACAAGCCCUCUCCUACACUGGUGAGGGGUGCCAGGAUUCUGUAGCAACACCUUUGAGUGAGCAUAACCUUGGACUCAAACAAUUUUCCUUACAGGCAAUAACCUACGAAAUACUGGGAUAUACGCACAAAGAUCCAUGUGCCAGGAUAUGUGUUGGAGGAUUUAUAUUUGGAGAAAAUUAAAUGCGCAAUGAGAGGUGCUGUUAUUAUUCCCACUUUACAGAGGGGAAGGCUGAAGCUCAAAGAAGCAAGGCAACUCUCAGGGGUCACAGAAGUGAUAAACUGAGGAGUUGGAAUUCCAGAGUCCAAGCUGGUGACGAGCACCGUGAACUCCUCUUCUCUGGCCACCACUCUACUCUACAACAAAGUCUAUAAAUUAUGGCCAUGGCCAGAUCCAGCUCGCCACCUGUUUCUCUGCUGUUCCCAAGGAAGUACGGGACGGAAAUUAAAGAAGAAAGUGGUUCCACAGGUUUGGUGGCUACAAAAAGAUUUCCUCGAUAAACACUGCCCACAGUCACUCAUUUGUGAAAGCUGCAUGAUGUGAAAUUAAACUCGGGCAGAGGUGCUGUGGGUGAUGAUGUCUCGGUGGCUUGGGGAAAUGAAAGCCAUUCAUCUCAGGCAAAUGUGACAGGCAGGACCAUUGGCUUUCCGUCACCUAUGGGCUGCCUUCUCAUGGCAGUGGCCUAUGCAGGCCUUACGUUUUUGCAGCAAAUUUGUAAUGAACCAAUCAGUGGCCUUCAUGUCAGGCAAUCUAGGAAGGUUUUGGAAGUGGGACUACUUGCCCCACUGUUGGUGAGUAUUAGAUAUCCCUUUAGGAAGGUUCAAGAGCCCAUGCUGGCCAGGCGCGGUGGCUCAUGCCUGUAAUCCCAGCACUUUGGGAGGUCGAGGUGGGCAGAUCAC
rnacentral:lncRNA from 1 species